AAAGAAAAGGGUGCUGAAGUUUCCUCUUUGCCAUCCCUCCCACUGGUGCGUGGAUGCUACAGGUGCGAGUCACUUCCUCACCUGAGGAACGUCC